CAGUCAUUACCAAGGCUCUGAGAACGCAGUUCCUCAUCUGCUGUGGACACAACCGUAAAAACAUCUUCCCACUACGUCUCCUCCUCCUCGCUAGCCCUCAGCCUACUGGGAACAACA
ensembl:snoRNA